AAGCCAACAUUUUCUCUUUCUUUUCUGUUCGUCUCCUCUUCUCAGAACCCUAACUAAGCCAAGCACUGCCAUAACCUCCAUCUUCUUCUCUAUAUGCAUGGAGCGUACGGAGCUUGCUGUUGAGAACAACGAUCUGCCUCGUUCUCCGCCGGAUCUUGCCGUUGAGGAGAACAACGAUCUGGGACUCUCUGAGGUUGCUUUCGAUAUACACAAGAAGCUGGAUAAGCUUGUCUGGAUUAUGGCAGGCAGGAAUUCGCUUUCCCCUCCUUCGCAGGAGCCACCGACUGACUGUGAAAUUGGCAAUCCGGAGCUGUUCGAGAUUCUUUGGAAGGCGAGUGGGAAGCUUGAUGUACUAUUAUUGCUCAUGUCGAGCAAGGAGCAAGGACUGAAGGCAUAACUCUAAGUUCCAAAGCCUUAUUAUGACUUGUUUUAUUCCAUUAUUACUACUGCGUUUCUUGUUAGAAAUAUGUUAAGACUUUCCAUGGGUUGUAUAAAUUUGAUAGUAUGUGUUUUGUGGAAUUUGAUACCACAAGACUCGUCGACCUUAUGACAUUACACCAAAAUUAUUUUGUGUAAACAAAGACUUUAUUGGGUCUGUUUUGACCUUCAGAUGAUUUCAAUAGUAAAAAAACUAGUA